UACGUAGGGUCCGGGCGUUGUCCGGAUUUAUUGGGCGUAAAGAGCUCGUAGGCGGCUCAGUAAGUCAGAUGUGAAAACUCAGGGCUCAACCCGGAGACGCCAUCUGAUACUGCUGUGGCUUGAGUCUGGUAGGGGAUCACGGAAUUCCUGGUGUAGCGGUGAAAUGCGCAGAUAUCAGGAGGAACACCGAUGGCGAAGGCAGUGAUCUGGGCCAGUACUGACGCUGAGGAGCGAAAGCGUGGGUAGCAAACAGG
rnacentral:rRNA from 1 species